CCAGUUGGCCUAGUCCUCACCCUGAGCCUUGCACUGAGAUGGGAGUGGUGUAAGGCUCAGGUAUGCACAGCUCCCAUCUCAGAACAAGGCUCGGGUGUGCACAGCUCCCAUCAGUAC
rnacentral:pre_miRNA from 14 species